CUUGGUGUGUGCGUGGAACGAGCAGGAAGAAGAAGAACAAGGGUUCAAACCCUUGUUCUUGAUAAAUCUUCAAAUUGAAGGGUGGAAUGAGGUCCAAAUUCACAACUGAACAUGAAUUAACGAUCACCUUCACAAGGGGAUCAUAAGGAAUCAUGUCAAGAUGGAUGGAGCGUUGAAGGCUAACGGACUAAGAAGACUCAACCAAGUAAGCGAACGCAAAUACGGACGCGCAAGGUUGUACAGAGCUGUGGAUUCUCAUCAUGGAGUGUAAGCGGUCGAAGAUCGAGUCAAGUCAUGGAUUGUACGUGUGGGCGCGUGGUCACGUAAAUUAAUAUAAGUAUGUCAGAAUUUUAUAAAUCUACAGAAUGCGUUAAUGUAUUUGAUGUAAAAGAGUGAUUUAAUGUAUUUCUAAGUAUGUUAGAAUGAAUAUAAUGAAAGAGAAUUUUUAAGUUCGUAUUUCCGCUGCG